GACGAACGCUGGCGGCGUGCUUAACACAUGCAAGUCGAACGGAAAGGCCCUGCUUUUGUGGGGUGCUCGAGUGGCGAACGGGUGAGUAACACGUGAGUAACCUGCCCUUGACUUUGGGAUAACUUCGGGAAACUGGGGCUAAUACCGGAUAGGAGCUCCUGCUGCAUGGUGGGGGUUGGAAAGUUUCGGCGGUUGGGGAUGGACUCGCGGCUUAUCAGCUUGUUGGUGGGGUAGUGGCUUACCAAGGCUUUGACGGGUAGCCGGCCUGAGAGGGUGACCGGCCACAUUGGGACUGAGAUACGGCCCAGACUCCUACGGGAGGCAGCAGUGGGGAAUAUUGCACAAUGGGCGGAAGCCUGAUGCAGCAACGCCGCGUGCGGGAUGACGGCCUUCGGGUGGUAAACCGCUUUCGCCUGUGACGAAGCGUGAGUGACGGUAAUGGGGAAAGAAGCACCGGCGAACUACGG
rnacentral:rRNA from 1 species